rnacentral:rRNA from 1 species
UGGGGGAUAUUGCACAAUGGGCGAAAGCCUGAUGCAGCGACGCCGCGUGGGGGAUGAAGGCCUUCGGGUUGUAAACUUCUUUUGCUCUGAACAAGGCGCACCAUGGGGUGUGUUGAGUGUAGGGGUUGAUUAGCGCCGGCUAACUACGUGCCAGCAGCCGCGGUAAUACGUAGGGCGCGAGCGUUGUCCGGAAUUAUUGGGCGUAAAGGGCUUGUAGGUGGCUGGUUGCGUCUGUCGUGAAAGCUCAUGGCUUAACUGUGGGUGUGCGGUGGGUACGGGCUGGCUUGAGUGCAGUAGGUGAGGCUGGAAUUCCUGGUGUAGCGGUGGAAUGCGCAGAUAUCAGGAGGAAUACCGGUGGCGAAGGCGGGUCUCUGGGCUGUUACUGACACUGAGGAGCGAAAGCAUGGGGAGCGAACAGG